AUCCCUCACGUCACUUCUCCACGCUCGAUGACUCCCGGAUAUCCAUCGCACAGAGUCCCGCUGCAUGGUAUGAUUCUUAGAAGCUUGGGACCACAAAUAUCACGCUUAGCUCAUGAGACGUUGAAGAGUGCACAGCUUCAGGGGCAUAUGGCUAUGAAGAUACGUGUCGAUGCCGUUUGCACCAUGAGGGUGGAUUUGGACACAGCGGUCAAUUACUAUAGGGAGGUUCACCACGGGAUGGAGGGAGGCCAGAAAGAGUCACUGGGGACCUGCUCGGAGUCGGUGUGCCUCGAUGAGAUGCGG
rnacentral:lncRNA from 1 species